rnacentral:rRNA from 1 species
UGAGAAUCCCCUCCACCGAAUGCCUAAGGUUUCCUGAGGAAGGCUCGUCCGCUCAGGGGUUAGUCGGGACCUAAGCCGAGGCCGAAAGGCGUAGGCGAUGGACAACAGGUUGAUAUUCCUGUACCACCUCCUCACCGAUUGAGCAAUGGGGGACGCAGGAGGAUAGGGCAAGCGCGGUAUUGGAUAUCCGCGUCCAAGCAGUUAGGCUGGGAAAUAGGCAAAUCCGUUUCCCGUAAGGCUGAGCUGUGAUGGCGAGCGAAAUAUAGUAGCGAAGUUCCUGAUUCCACACUGCCAAGAAAAGCCUCUAGCGAGGUGAGAGGUGCCCGUACCGCAAACCGACACAGGUAGGCGAGGAGAGAAUCCUAAGGUGAUCGAGAGAACUCUCGUUAAGGAACUCGGCAAAAUGACCCCGUAACUUCGGGAGAAGGGGUGCUCUGUUAGGGUGCAAGCCCGAGAGAGCCGCAGUGAAUAGGCCCAGGCGACUGUUUAGCAAAAACACAGGUCUCUGCGAAGCCGCAAGGCGAAGUAUAGGGGCUGACGCCUGCCCGGUGCUGGAAGGUUAAGAGGAGCGCUUAGCGUAAGCGAAGGUGCGAAUUGAAGCCCCAGUAAACGGCGGCCGUAACUAUAACGGUCCUAAGGUAGCGAAAUUCCUUGUCGGGUAAGUUCCGACCCGCACGAAAGGCGCAACGAUCUGGGCACUGUCUCAACGAGAGACUCGGUGAAAUUAUAGUACCUGUGAAGAUGCAGGUUACCCGCGACAGGACGGAAAGACCCCGUGGAGCUUUACUGCAGCCUGAUAUUGAAUGUUGGUACAGCUUGUACAGGAUAGGUACGGAG